AUACGGAGGAUGCGAGCGUUAUCCGGAUUUAUUGGGUUUAAAGGGUGCGUAGGCUGUGCGUUAAGUCAGGGGUGAAAUGCCGUCGCUCAACGACGGAGCUGCCCUUGAUACUGGCGUGCUGGAGUACGGAUGCCGUUGGAGGAAUGAGUGGUGUAGCGGUGAAAUGCUUAGAUAUCACUCAGAACACCGAUUGCGAAGGCAUCUGACGAAUCCGUCACUGACGCUGAGGCACGAAAGCGUGGGGAUAGAACAGGAUUAGAUACCCUGGUAUUCCACGCCGUAAACGAUGAUGACUAACCGUCGGCGAUAGACAGCCGGUGGCCAAGCGUAAGCGAUAGGUCAUCCACCUGGGGAGUACGUCGGCAACGAUGAAACUCAAAGGAAUUGACGGGG
rnacentral:rRNA from 1 species